GACGAACGCUGGCGGCGUGCUUAACACAUGCAAGUCGAACGGAAAGGCCCUGCUUUUGUGGGGUGCUCGAGUGGCGAACGGGUGAGUAACACGUGAGUAACCUGCCCUUGAAUUUGGGAUAACUUCAGGAAACUGGGGCUAAUACCGGAUAGGAGCUCCUGCUGCAUGGGGGGGGUUGGAAAGUUUCGGCGGUUGGGGAUGGACUCGCGGCUUAUCAGCUUGUUGGGGGGGUAGUGGCGUACCAAGGCUUUGACGGGUAGCCGGCCUGAGAGGGUGACCGGCCACAUUGGGCCUGCGAUACGGCCCAGACUCCUACGGGAGGCAGCAGUGGGGAAUAUUGCACAAUGGGCGGAAGCCUGAUGCAGCAACGCCGCGUGCGGGAUGCCGGCCUUCGGGUUGUAAACCGCUUUCGCCUGUGACGAAGCGUGAGUGACGGUAAUGGGUAAAGAAGCACCGGCUAACUACGUG
rnacentral:rRNA from 1 species